rnacentral:rRNA from 1 species
CCUACGGGAGGCAGCAGUGGGGAAUAUUGCACAAUGGGCGCAAGCCUGAUGCAGCCAUGCCGCGUGUGUGAAGAAGGCCUUCGGGUUGUAAAGCACUUUCAGCGGGGAGGAAGGCGUUAAGGUUAAUAACCUUGGCGGUUGACGUUACCCGCAGAAGAAGCACCGGCUAACUCCGUGCCAGCAGCCGCGGUAAUACGGAGGGUGCAAGCGUUAAUCGGAAUUACUGGGCGUAAAGCGCACGCAGGCGGUCUGUCAAGUCGGAUGUGAAAUCCCCGGGCUCAACCUGGGAACUGCAUUCGAAACUGGCAGGCUAGAGUCUUGUAGAGGGGGGUAGAAUUCCAGGUGUAGCGGUGAAAUGCGUAGAGAUCUGGAGGAAUACCGGUGGCGAAGGCGGCCCCCUGGACAAAGACUGACGCUCAGGUGCGAAAGCGUGGGGAGCAAACAGGAUUAGGUACCCGUGUAGUC